rnacentral:tRNA from 1 species
GCUGGGAUAGCUCAGCUGGUAGAGUAAGAGACUCUUAAUCUCAGUGUCGUGGGUUCAAGCCCCACGUUGUGCA